UAUUGAUGAUGUGGACAGUCCCAAAAAAAUGCCUUGAAUCACUCCCAAGCAUGAUAGAGGUUCUCAUCUAUCCUUUGUUUGAAGCUCUCAAUUUCACUAUAAAGUU
rfam:Capsicum annuum cultivar Zunla-1 chromosome 11, whole genome shotgun sequence